rnacentral:lncRNA from 1 species
UACAGGUGUUCUAAAGCAGCCUGGAAAAGAACAGGAGGAUGGCUCAUGUUGCUGAAGGUCUCCAGGACAGGACACACUGUCUGUCUCUGUGCUAGUGUAGGGAUGUGCCCUGAGCACUGCAGCACUCUGCUGCUUCCAGCCUGAGGAAUAACUGAUGGAUAACACAAGAGAGGAGUCCCUGUGAGUGGGCACUGACAGGUGGAUAAUAGAAAUGUUCUGGACAGUCAGAGAACUACUGGAGAUGACAUAUGAGAAGAAAAUCACUGCUGGAGUACAUUUGAGGAGGGUCUAGCUUUAGUUGUCUGUGUAACAGCUGAGAUGAAAGAUCUUUUACAUGUGCUCCCUUUUAUGCAUCACUGAAUCCAGAGCUGGGCAGGGAGAGGCAAGGAGAAGAAGAGGCAGUUCUGGAGGACUGAGGCAGUUGAUCCAGUACUGGAAAAGUGUUCCCAAGGAGCAAAAUCUGACAGUGUGGCUGUUUCCUGCUCCUGGAAAAGCUCCCUGUGUGUCCAACACAGAGCCACAUGCAGUCAUCACCUGGCCAUGGAUCACCAAGGAAGCUGCUAAUACCUGUGAAAUUUGGUCCUACCAUGAAGAAAUGGUUGUUAGUAUGGCACUCCAUCCCUCAGUAAAUAUGUUCCAUGUGGAUAUUUAUAGUCCUGCCUGCUCCCUUCAGUGAGAACAGAACGUUCUUCCUCCCAUGAGCUCUGUACAGCUGCCAGGAGAGAUGGUGGAAGCCUUUCCUCCCCUCACCUACUGUGGAUGCUCAUUGGUUUCAGCUCCACAGUCCCUGCAAUACCCAAGGAUUUGUGUAAGUGUUUGAAAGGAUCUAAUUUAAAAAGAUAACUGUCUCUUCUAG